CUAUAGUGCAUGGGUUACAACAGUUAAAUUUUCUAACUUUCUUUAAAGUUUAUAAUGAAAAUGAGGCAUCUCAUAUCACAAAUUCAAUAUGGUGUGGGUGUGUAUUUGUUUUUGUCCCUUGCUAAAAUGCUUUUGAAUCAACAGCUUAUAUUGAACAUGGCAUGCAUAUUACAGCACUGGGGCUCACUCCGUGUGUAUACUUAUAAUUUCCAGCCCUCACAGUGUAGUUAACUCUUUUUGUUUCAUGGAGGGAUUGAGGAAAACCAUGAAUCACUUCAGUCAGGGUAGCUAGUGUCCAGCCAAGAUUCGGAUUGUUUACCUCUUGAAUACAGGUCAGAAACAUUACUACUUGAGCCUAUUUCAUCACUCAGUCUCUUAGGGACGCUCCAUUAUCUGUACUGUCUUGUUAUUUGGAUUCUGAAAGACCUUGCAACUGUUGCAUGGCAAAUCUCUUAACAGUUUUCUCUGCAAAUCUCGAAAUUCUUCGUUGCCUAUUCUGUUGAAAUGCUUCACUGUUAUUGCAUGUUGUUUGUUGUUUUUCAGGCAAACCUUUAUGGCAGUCAUCCAUUUUAUCUGAUGAUGGAGAAAAGCGGGAAAAGCCAUGGUGUGUUUCUGCUCAAUAGCAAUGCUAUGGAGGUGAUCCUCCAGCCAGCACCAGCUGUAACGUUUCGAACACUGGGAGGGCUCCUAGACUUCAUUUUCUUGGGUCCUAGUCCACAGAAUGUUAUCCAGCAAUAUACGAAGUAAUUGGAAGGCCAUAUAUGCCUCCUUACUGGGGCUUGGGAUUCCAUCUUUGCAGAUAUGGUUACAACAGUUUGAAUAACACAAAACAGGUUUGGAGCAGGACUUGAGAAGCAGGGAUUCCACUGGUAACUACUUCU